GCUACAAUGGGGCUUGAUGAUUAGUCAUCUCAACAUCAUCACUUCAUCCCUUAAAACACUGUGCUGUCUCCUAGAGGACUUCCACACAGAACCCCUCCACCUAAGGGACUCGUCUUUACAUCCUGAUUCUCAGGGUCUUGGAGCCACUGCUACCUUUAGGCAACUCUCCUUCUCUCACCCCAGCACUUGUGUCAACCCCUAUCUCCUCUCUCCUUGGAGCAGCCAGCUAAAGUCUCCUUCCACAUGAGGGUCUGGACAGGACUGUACAACAGAGUCCUGCUUUCCCAUAGGAACUGGAAUCUGGGAAAAAGGAAAACAGUACUAGAAGCAGAACAAGAGUGUGGGAUCACUCCUGGGUGGUACUGUCACCUCAUUUGGACAGUUCACUGCCUAGAUGUGCUGAGUGUGCAAAUUCUGUCUCGUUGCCUCAUCCAGUGUUUCUCUGAAUAGAAGCAAAUAUCUGGGCACCAGACUCUCUCCUGGCUUUGAUGAAGCAAGCUGCCAUGUUGGAGAGGCCUACAUGACAAGGAACUGAAGGUUGCCUCCAGCCAACUCCAGCCAACAGCCAUCCAGGAAUUGAGGCUCUCAGUCCAACAGGCCUUGAGGAACUGCAUCCAGCCAGCAACUGUAGAAGUGAGCAAAGAAGUGUGUAUUUCCCCAGUCAAGCCUUCAGCUGAGACCCCAGCCCCAGCUGACACCUUAAUUGCAGCCUUGUGAGAGACCUUGGAGCAGAGAACCCAGGUAGGCCUUGCCUACAUUCCUCACCAACAGAAACUAUGAAUUAAUAAAUACUUGGUUUUUUAAGCCACUAA